rnacentral:rRNA from 1 species
AUUGAACGCUGGCGGCAGGCCUAACACAUGCAAGUCGAACGAGUGGCGGACGGGUGAGUAAUGUCUGUGAAACUGCCCGAUGGCGGGGGAUAACUACUGGAAACGGUAGCGCAAACCCCGUACCAGCGGAUGUGCCCCGAUGGGAUUGGCUAGUAGGUGGGGGAAUGGCUCACCUAGGCGCCGAUCCCUAGCUGGUCUGAGAGGAUGACCAGCCACACUGGAACUGAGACACGGUCCAGACUCCUACGGGAGGCAGCAGUGGGGAAUAUUGCACAAUGGGCGCAAGCCUGAUGCAGCCAUGCCGCGUGUAUGAAGAAGGCCUUCGGGUUGUAAAGUACUUUCAGCGAGGAGGCGUUACUCGCAGAAGAAGCACCGGCUAACUCCGUGCCAGCAGCCGCGGUAAUUC